UUUUGGAAUUCACCAUUGAGUUGGCAUAGGGUAGUACUGCAGACCAAUGUAAUUGUAGUACUUCCUAGGGCAGCUUAUUAAGGAAUUCAAAUU
rnacentral:pre_miRNA from 1 species